GCGCAUGUGGUGAAAGGGUAUCAUGAGAGUUUCCCAAGCUUUCGUUCCGGGUUCGAGCCCCGGCAUGCGCA
rfam:Giardia intestinalis strain GS GS_B_0192, whole genome shotgun sequence.